GGAUUAGCUCAGUUGGUUAGAGCAUGGUGCUAAUAAUGCCAAGUUCAUGGGUUCAAUACUCAUUGAGGCCA
rnacentral:tRNA from 1 species